UCUCCUGGAAACGGGUGGUAAUGCCGGAUGCUCCAUCACACUGCAUGGUGUGUUGGGAAAGCCUUUGCGGCAUGGGAUGGGGUCGCGUCCUAUCAGCUUGAUGGCGGGGUAACGGCCCACCAUGGCUUCGACGGGUAGCCGGCCUGAGAGGGCGACCGGCCACAUUGGGACUGAGAUACGGCCCAGACUCCUACGGGAGGCAGCAGUGGGGAAUAUUGCACAAUGGGCGCAAGCCUGAUGCAGCGACGCCGCGUGAGGGAUGGAGGCCUUCGGGUUGUAAACCUCUUUUGUUAGGGAGCAAGGCAUUUUGUGUUGAGUGUACCUUUCGAAUAAGCACCGGCUAACUACGUGCCAGCAGCCGCGGUAAUACGUAGGGUGCAAGCGUUAUCCGGAAUUAUUGGGCGUAAAGGGCUCGUAGGCGGUUCGUCGCGUCCGGUGUGAAAGUCCAUCGCUUAACGGUGGAUCCGCGCCGGGUACGGGCGGGCUUGAGUGCGGUAGGGGAGACUGGAAUUCCCGGUGUAACGGUGGAAUGUGUAGAUAUCGG
rnacentral:rRNA from 1 species